CUGAAAUUUUUUUUGUUUGUAUUUUCAGUUUCACUCCAAGUUCUCACGCUUAGCUUUCAAUUUUGCUCCUCCUUCCUCCUAGAGUUUCAUGAUUUCACUCCAACAAACUCCAUUCAAUUUGCAUAAUUUUUUGAUUUGGGUUCACUUUUAUUGGUUUUAUAUCAAGGUUUACAGGUAUGUAAUUUUUCAAUUAGGGUUCUUGUAAUUUUUCCUUACUUAAAUUCGAAAAUAGCCCCAAAAAUCGAAUUAAACUUUAUUGUUGAUCAGUUAGCGAAGUAAUUUCGAUUCUGAUUGUGUUCAUACUCCUCCAUCAACGGAGAGCAUCUUCCUCCUCAUCUUCGAUCUCCAACGAACGUUUUACUAUCAUUUUUUUUUGUUGGUUUUCGAAUUUGGAUUCAGCAAUAGUGCUUCUAUUGAGGUUUAAAGACAUGUUAGACAUGAUGGAUAGUAUCAUUGAACUGGGAGGAAACUUGGCAAUUUGAGGAUCACAUAGAUACUAUUAUCUUUGGACUUGAAGGAGACUUGGCAUAUUAAGGACCAGUUUUAUGUCUCAACCUUUUGUAGUAGCGAAAUUAUAGGCACACUCAGGGAGUAUUUGGCAAGAUUUGCAGCCUACAGCGAUGUAGAAUUGGAUGAGAUUCGGGAACAAUGGGCUAAGUUUUUUAGGCUUAAUUUUUUUGUUGAAAGACUAAUUGUCUUAUUAAUCGACGUUAUGAUUAAUCGCAUUUAGUUUAAUAAAACAAUAUAACACUUUUCUAUAUAUGCACUUUUAUUUAAUUAGCCUAUUGGUUAUUGUUGUUA